rnacentral:rRNA from 1 species
AGGGUGAACGCUGGCGGCGUGCUUAAGACAUGCAAGUCGAACGGGAAGAGCUUGCUCUUCUAGUGGCGCACGGGUGAGUAACGCGUAACUGACCUACCUCCAAGUUCAGCAUAACGUCUCGAAAGAGACGCUAAUUCUGAAUGUGAUCCCACCUCGUGUGGUGUGAUUAAAGAAUUUCGCUUGGAGAUGGGGUUGCGUUCCAUCAGCUAGAUGGGUGGGGUAAAGGCCUACCAUGGCGACGACGGAUAACCGGCCUGAGAGGGUGGCCGGUCACAGGGGCACUGAGACACGGGUCCCCACUCCUACGGGAGGCAGCAGUUAGGAAUCUUCCACAAUGGGCGCAA